UGUAUAUGGUUAAUAAAAUAAUAAUAUAUAACUUUGAAACAGCAAAAAGCAAACGGAAGAAUAUGUAACUUGAGAUUUAUCGACGAAGCCGUUGGAGUUUUGAGGCUCAACACCCACUCGCUCACCCACUCACAGACAGACAUUCGGAAGAUGAUGCGUGCGGCGACAGUUUCUUCUUCUUCUUUGAAGGUUGGUUAUGGCAUCGGCAGCAGACUGAGACUGAGAGUGAGAGGUAUGCCGCCUGUGCCUUGUCUUCUUCAUAACUCUACUCUUUUUCCGUUCUUCAACAAUUACUUCGCUCCGUUUCACUCUCAAUCAACCAAAUCUAGAAACACCCAACCACGCCGUCUUGUGAAAGUAUCUAACCUUGAGGAUGCACUCCAUCUGUUCGACGAAAUGCUUCAAAGGCGUCCUCCGCCUUCCAUUCUCUGUUUCACUCAACUCUUGGGUCAAGUCGCCAAGUUGAAACAUUAUUCGGCAGUCAUCUCGUUGCACAACCGAAUGGGUUUUUCGGGGAUUCGUCCUAAUGUUUAUACUCUAACCAUUAUCAUUAAUUGCUUUUCCCAUAUGAAUCAAAUGGGGUUUAGUUUAUCUGUCUUGGGAAAGUUCUUCAAACUUGGCUUUGAACCGAAUGUGGCGACUUUCAACACGUUAAUCAACGGAUUCCUUCUUCAGAAUAGUGAGGCUGAUGCUGUCGAGAUUCUGAAUAAAAUGAUGAAGGGAGGUAAUUGUAACCCAGAUGUGAUUACUUUCGGCACACUAGUAAAGGGCCUUUGUGCAAAAGGUAACAACACUGGAGCUAUUCAAUUGCUUAGGAAAAUGGAAGAAGGAGGUUGCAAGCCCAACCUAGUCAUUUACAGCACGAUCAUCGAUAGCCUUUGUAAAGAUACUCUAGUUGUGGAUGCAUUGAACCUCUUCUCUGAAAUGAUGAGUAAACGUAUUGACCCAAAUGUCAUUACCUAUACUUCUUUGAUUCAUGGAGUAUGCAAAUUAGGAGGGUGGAAUGAAGCUACGAGAUUGUUUAAUGAAAUGGUGAGCAAAGGUAUCUUUCCAAACUUGCACAGCUACAAUGUCUUGGUAGAUACCCUUUGCAAGGAGGGCUUGGUCGGGAAAGCAAAAUGCAUGGUCGAAAUGAUGACUCAAAGAGAUAUUGAGCCUGACAUGGUCACAUACAGUUCGCUUAUGGAUGGUUAUUGUUUGCGAGGAGAAAUGGGUGAGGCGAAAAAGGUUUUGGAACUAAUGCUCAGCAAGGGCUACACAACUGAUCCUUAUAGCUACAACAUAUUCAUCAAUGGCUAUUGUAAGCAUGGAAGGAUAGAUGAGGCACUGAUGAUUUUUAAUGAAAUGUCUAAUAACAGACUGGUUCCAGAUACAGUUACUUAUAACACUCUUAUGGACGGGUUUUGCAAAGUAGGAAGAAUACAAGAUGCACAAAAGUUCUUCUCUCAGAUGCAAGCUUGUGGCCAACUUCCAAAUGUACACAGUUAUAAUGUUUUACUGGAUGGCCUGUGUAAAAACCAACAACUAUCUAAGGCAAUGGAACUGUUAAGAGAUAUGGUAAGUAAAAAGUUGGACCCAGAUAUUGUGAGUCACAAUAUUCUUAUCGAAGGUUUAUGCAUAGCUGGAAGAGUUGAAUCUGCAUGGAAUCUCUUUUGUGGUUUAUCAUCAAAAGGAUUUCAGCCCAAUGUCAGGACAUAUACUAUAAUGAUUAGUGGAUUUUGUAAUGGGGGCUUAAUAAGUGAAGCGGAAAAGUUGCUUCAAGAAAUGAAAGAUAGAGGUCAUCCUCCAAAUGGUUGCACCUACAACAUAAUUAUCCGAGGUUGCAUCAAUAACAAUGAGACAGUAAAGGCAAUGAGACUUAUCCAAGAAAUGGUGGAGAGGGGUUUUUCUGCUGAUGCAUCAACUAUGGAAUUGAUAAUUAAUUUGCUGUCUAAAGAUGCUGUUGAUCCUGCUUUGUUGACAUUGGUUGAGGUAUCACGAUGAAGUUGAUUUGCAUCUUUGAAAUUGGUAAGAGAUCCUUCUAAUUAUUAUAACGAGCUUUGAACCUAUUGCACCUUUGAUUAGUGUAUUAUAUAUGUUCUUCAUUAGUCACGUGGAAACACAACGUAUAUUUUUUACUUCACCCCAAAGUUUAGCAUUUGAGUAGUUUCAUAUGCUUAUUUUGAAGAGUUUAGUAGAAAAAUUGUUAUACAUCGCAAUAUUGUGAUAACAGGUUGCAUAGUGAUUACGUUAGUAAGAAGUUGUCAUGUUUUUUUCAUUUGGGGAAAAUCUAGGGCUGAUGUUUGCAAUAUUGGAUAGAGACAGUUUUAAGACUUUGAACUUUGGUUGUCUACAGUAGUUAUGUAAAUUGUUUUUGUUGCUGAAACAAUUAUUUGAUUGAUUUUAUUAGUAUGAUUAUUUGGAUGAAAAAAGGAAAAAGCCAAGGCAAGUCAACAACAGGGGAAAGUUUGUAGCAACAGUAAAACUCCUUUAAGUUUGUGAAGAGAUUCAACAGUAAAACUCACCUUUGGGGAUCAAAUUCAGGUAAACAAUGUCAGCGGGGCGGAUGAUGAUGUCUGGUAUGGGGAGCUUUUAUGGAGGUGAAUGUUUCUCUUAUUAAUUGCUUCCUAGGACAAAAGGAAUUUCCCUAUUUCUAGUUCAAAUCACCAUUUCAUGGGGGGAGCAAUAUGAUGCGUGCACAUGUUUUUGUACAUUUGUCGAAUGAUCUUGUUGAUAAAGUAUGAUAUCCCUUUGCACCAAGUGAACUGUGAGUCGCUUUGGGUGCAGGAGGACACUUCCCAAUUCAGUGAUAUGUGUAUCGUUCAUGUCAAUAUGCAAACUCAGCUUGGUCUUGGUAUUUUUGGCUUAAGCUGUUGGUUCUUGUGGAGAUGGAGGAAUCUGCGAGUUUUGAUUCUGAUGAUAUAUUUUCCUUGCAUGCCGCAAGAAUGUGAUCUAGGCCUAUGCUCAAGAGUGGAGGCAUUCCAACUCAUCAUUGCGCUCUAAACCCACCAGAACUGAGGACCUCUUGGACUGGGAUCCUUUAUGGUUUCUGCAAAGUUACACGCAGCACGAUCUUCCUCUCCAGACUCCGUCCUGUUUACACCUUCAUCCGUUGAUCAAAAUUGGCAACAAGUUCUUUGCAGAUUACUUGGCCAGCUGAGCUUCAGAAUCGCCCUGCUGAUUAUGGCUUACAGCCCAAAGUCUCAAGGAUGCUGCAGGUAACGAAACCGGCACUAAAUUUACUAGCGAUAGUUUUACAUAAAAUGACCAACAAACGAGUUGGCUUAUGGGUCAAGGAUGUUGAGUGGGCUGAAUCGGGCUACUGGAACACACACAAGAUCAUGUGCUCUUGGAGUAGUAAAUCUUGGCCGUUCAUCCAUUUGAAGACAUCGUCACCCGAUCAGGACCCGAUAACCGUCCAAUCAAAGCACUGGAUCAUAGCUGCAAGUACCCCAGGUAGCAUUUUCAUGGUCAAGUUCACACCAGGGCAUGUCCCCUCCUCCCAGACCUCAAGGCCUGGAGUGGACAUCAAUUUGUCUUAAAGAAUAAUAAGGUCGAUAGAUAUUGAUAGAAAAUGUAAAAUGAGAUGUGAAUGGGGCUUUUACAUUUGAAAUUUGCAUCUUUCAUUGGAGAUC